UCGUGAUAAUCCGCGACCGCCUUGUAGCGCCCGUUGAGCUCUCCAAACUUUUGCGAGAACUUAUCACGACGGCUCUUCACAACUUCGACUAUCUCUCUCUUCCCUCGCCUAUAGGCAUGGUUGACCUCCCUCUCGAACGACUCUCUCUCACGACGACGAGAACUUUCCAACUCAUCUUUCAAACGAGCAAUCUCUUGGUCAGCCACCUCAACCUUGAAUCGAGCCAUCCGAGCCUCUUGUUUGCUUGUAUCGAGGGCUCGGUUUAUCAUAAGAAGGCCUUGCGAGAAUUCUCAAAAUCAGUAAAGCUUAGGGCCAAACAAAACCCGAGAAUGUCCAAAGAUGAGAACCUACCCCAAUGACCAUCCUCGCCGCCUUGGAAAAAUCUGGCACUUCGUUGGAUCCACCCUCA
rnacentral:lncRNA from 1 species